UGGUUCUGGCAUCGAUGAAGAACGCAGCGAAAUGCGAUAAGUAAUGUGAAUUGCAGAAUUCAGUGAAUCAUCGAAUCUUUGAACGCACAUUGCGCCCCCUGGCAUUCCGGGGGGCAUGCCCGUUCGAGCGUCAUUAAAUCCAAUCAAGCCUGGCUUGGUAUUGGGCGUCGGGGUCUCCCGCGCCUCAAUUUCACCGGCGGGCCGUGGUCUGUCUUUUAACGUUGUGACGCAUAUUCGUUAAAAGCAGGCGCGGACUCCGCCGUUAAACUAAACAAAUUCCUCGGGAGAUUUGAUUAAGGUUGACCUCGGAUCGGGUAGGAAUACCCGCUGA
rnacentral:misc_RNA from 1 species